ensembl:snRNA U6 U6 spliceosomal RNA
GUGCUUGCUUCGGCAGCACAUGUACGAAAAUUGGAACAAUACAGAGAAGAUUAGCAUGACCCCUGUGCAAGGAUGACACGCAAAUUCAUGAAACAUGGAUUUUAUUU